AUUGAACGCUGGCGGCAUGCCUUACACAUGCAAGUCGAACGGCAGCACGGGGCAACCUGGUGGCGAGUGGCGAACGGGUGAGUAAUGCAUCGGAACGUACCUUUCAGUGGGGGAUAACGUAGCGAAAGUUACGCUAAUACCGCAUAUUCUGUGAGCAGGAAAGCAGGGGAUCGCAAGACCUUGCGCUGAUUGAGCGGCCGAUGUCAGAUUAGCUAGUUGGUGAGGUAAAGGCUCACCAAGGCGACGAUCUGUAGCGGGUCUGAGAGGAUGAUCCGCCACACUGUAACUGAGACACGGUCCAGACGCCUACGGGAGGCAGCAGUGGGGAAUUUUGGACAAUGGGGGCAACCCUGAUCCAGCCAUGCCGCGUGAGUGAAGAAGGCCUUCGGGUUGUAAAGCUCUUUCGGCCGGGAAGAAAUCGCACGGGCUAAUACCCUGUGUGGAUGACGGUACCGGAAUAAGAAGCACCGGCUAACUACGUGCCAGCCGCCGCGGUAACAC
rnacentral:rRNA from 1 species